rnacentral:tRNA from 1 species
GGAGGGAUGGCCGAGUGGUCGAAGGCGGCGGUUUGCUAAACCGUUAUGCGGUUAACAGCCGUAUCGGGGGUUCGAAUCCCCCUCCCUCCGCCA